rnacentral:rRNA from 1 species
AAUACGGGAUAAUAUAUUUGAGAGGCAUCUCUUGAAUAUCAAAGGUGAGCCAGUACAGGAUGGACCCGCGUCUGAUUAGCUAGUUGGUAAGGUAACGGCUUACCAAGGCGACGAUCAGUAGCCGACCUGAGAGGGUGAUCGGCCACAUUGGAACUGAGACACGGUCCAAACUCCUACGGGAGGCAGCAGUGGGGAAUAUUGCACAAUGGGCGAAAGCCUGAUGCAGCAACGCCGCGUGAGUGAUGAAGGUCUUCGGGUCGUAAAACUCUGUCCUCAAGGAAGAUAAUGACGGUACUUGAGGAGGAAGCCCCGGCUAACUACGUGCCAGCAGCCGCGGUAAUACGUAGGGGGCUAGCGUUAUCCGGAUUUACUGGGCGUAAAGGGUGCGUAGGCGGUCUUUCAAGUCAGGAGUGAAAGGCUACGGCUCAACCGUAGUAAGCUCUUGAAACUGGGAGACUUGAGUGCAGGAGAGGAGAGUGGAAUUCCUAGUGUAGCGGUGAAAUGCGUAGAUAUUAGGAGGAACACCAGUUGCGAAGGCGGCUCUCUGGACUGUAACUGACGCUGAGGCACGAAAGCGUGGGGAGCAAACAGGAUUAGAUACCCUGGUAGUCCACGCUGUAAACGAUGAGUACUAGGUGU